rnacentral:tRNA from 1 species
GCCCAGCUGGCUCAUUCAGUAGAGUGUGUGACUCUUGAUCUCGGGGUUGUGAGUUCACGCCUCACAUUGGGUG